UACGAAGGGUGCUAGCGUUGUUCGGAAUUACUGGGCGUAAAGCGCGCGUAGGCGGCUAUCCAAGUCAGAGGUGAAAUCCCUGGGCUCAACCCAGGAAUUGCCUUUGAAACUGUAUAGCUUGAGUGUCGGAGGGGACAGCGGAAUUGCUAAUGUAGAGGUGAAAUUCGUAGAUAUUAGCAGGAACACCGGUGGCGAAGGCGGCUAUCUGGACGACAACUGACGCUGAGGCGCGAAAGCGUGGGUAGCAAACAGG
rnacentral:rRNA from 1 species